CGGGGUAGCAAUAUCCAGUGGCGAACGGCGGAGUAAUACUUAAGCAACGUGCCUUGAAGACUGGGAUAGUCGUUGGAAACGACGGGUAAUACCGGAUGUGGUGAUUGUGAGGCAUCUCACGAUCAUUAAAUGGUUUUUCGCUUCAAGAGCGGCUUAUGGCCUAUCAGGUAGUUGGUGGGGUAAUGGCCUACCAAGCCGACGACGGGUAGCGGGUCUGAGAGGAUGAUCCGCUCGAGUGGGACUGAGACACGGCCCACGCACCUACGGGUGGCAGCAGUUGGGAAUCUUGCACAAUGGGGGAAACCCUGAUGCAGCGACGCCGCGUGGAGGAUGAAGGAUCUAGGUCUGUAAACUCCUUUUUCAGGGAAAGACUUAGGACGGUACCCUGAGAAUAAGCACCGGCUAACUACGUGCCAGCAGCCGCGGUAAGACGUAGGGUGCUAGCGUUGUCCGGAUUUACUGGGCGUAAAGAGCGCGUAGGCGGUCUGUUAAGUGAGAAGUGAAAUCUCCAGGGCUCAACCCGGAAACCGCUUUUCAUACUGGCAGACUUGAGGAAAGCAGAGGUUUGUGGAAUUCCUGGUGUAGCGGUGAAAUGCGUUGAUAUCAGGAGGAACACCCAUGGCGAAGGCAGCAAACUGGGCUUUAUCUGACGCUGAGGCGCGAAAGCGUGGGUAGCAAACAGGAUUAGAUACCCUGGUAGUCCACGCCCUAAACGAUGGAUACUAGGCGUAAGAGGUAUCGACCCCUCUUGUGCCGCAGCUAACGCAUUAAGUAUCCCGCCUGGGGACUACGGCCGCAAGGUUGAAACUC
rnacentral:rRNA from 1 species